GCAAAGCUGACUGCUAAAGCUGACUCGCCUGCCACGCGGGCGCCCCGGGUUCAAUUCCCGGCCGAUGCA